GCAACUUUUCCUCUGGACAGGUUUUGAUAAAUCUCCCCCUCUGAGAGUCACUAGUUGAAUACAUGGGGGAGAAAUAAAGUCUGAUCAAUAAUCAAUUAACUGUCCAUUAUAAAAGUCAGGCUAAUGGGUCCAGUGACUGGGCCACAAACAAUUCUGAAAACCAGACUCCCAGGCAAGAAAAGAUAUGUUUGGCUGACAUGUUGUAUGCGCAGUAAAGCAAUAGUUCCUUGAUAAGACAUGAAGGCUGAAAUGACACAUUAUCACGAUGCUAUUGUUGUAUCUUUCACACAGGAGAAGAGUGCCACCUUUUGGAAAUGUUCCCAUGGCAAGUUUAAAGGGGUUAUCCAACAUUUAAGGACUUACCUGCCAGACAGUAAUGGACAUUCUUAGGAAGAAUUUGUGCUUGUCUUGGGGUUAAAUGGAUCCUACAAAGAAAAUGGGUGCAGAAGAGCCCAUAGAAGUGUAUAAAUAGGCUCCAGAAAUGAAAAUUAUGAAUAAAAAGGGGUUUACAAAAAUACAAAACUACAAUAACACCUAAAGGUGUGUCAAGCACACCGACAUGUAGACCCCAGAAUAAUAAAACUUGAAUAAGGUAUAAAAAUAUAUUUUUAUUACGGUAUAUUUAAGGACAAGUAUGCAUACAAGUAAAUAGCUAAAAAAACAGAAUAAUAUGCA